UACGUAGGGGGCAAGCGUUGUCCGGAUUUAUUGGGCGUAAAGAGCGUGUAGGCGGCCAGGUAGGUCUGCUGUGAAAACUCGAGGCUUAACCUCGAGAUGUCGGCGGAAACCAUCUGGCUAGAGUCCGGAAGAGGAGAAUGGAAUUCCCGGUGUAGCGGUGAAAUGCGCAGAUAUCGGGAAGAACACCCGUGGCGAAGGCGGUCUCUGGGACGGUACUGACGCUGAGACGCGAAAGCGUGGGGAGCGAACAGG
rnacentral:rRNA from 1 species